rnacentral:rRNA from 1 species
CCGCCUGGGGAGUACGGUCGCAAGAUUAAAACUCAAAGGAAUUGACGGGGACCCGCACAAGCGGUGGAUGAUGUGGAUUAAUUCGAUGCAACGCGAAAAACCUUACCUACCCUUGACAUGGAUGGAACCUCGGAGAGAUCUGAGGGUGCUCGAAAGAGAACCAUCACACAGGUGCUGCAUGGCUGUCGUCAGCUCGUGUCGUGAGAUGUUGGGUUAAGUCCCGCAACGAGCGCAACCCUUGUCAUUAGUUGCUACGCAAGAGCACUCUAAUG